UUCUAGAGAUUUAUUUUGUUCCUUUGAAUAUGCUAAUUCUCCUGUAUACUUGGUUAUUGUUAAAUGCCUUAAUUUCCUAAAAGUCUUAUGCUUGCUUCUUCUUGGGGUGAUUUAUGUUCUAUGCUUGAUAUCUGACCUAUUUCAAGCUAUGCAGCUAUUCUCAUCUGAAGUCAUCAGUUGGGAUGGAAACCAGUCUCUCAGCAGUACUUAAACAGGUCAGAAAGUUGCCAGCAGUUCCAAUCUAUUAUUUUUAUCUCAAAGGAAAAAUCAGCAGUAGAGUGGCUUCCCUCCUUCGACUCAGUUUCAGGGAAGGGGUGAGAACACCCUGUGAAGAGGAAGGCAGAGAUUGGAAUGAUGCAGAAGAAGCCAACGAAUCUAGGAGAGAGGCAUGAAUUUCCCCUUCAUAGUCCUUGUAAGGAGCCAACCCUGCUGCACCUUUAUCUCAAAUGUCCAGCUUCCAGAACUGCAAGACAGUAAAUUUCUGCUGUUUAA
rnacentral:lncRNA from 1 species